UCGGGGUCCUGCGGCGGCGGGGGAAAGGACCUGGGCUUCCGGGGUUCCGGGGACCGAGCGGCCGGCGGGCGCAGGCGAGGCGGAGGAGGGCAGCCCCGGCAGGCCCCGGACCCCCGGUGGGCGUGGCGCUGCGGGCUAGGGCCCCCGUCAACCACACCUGAGUUUAUGUUAAUACGGUGACUUUUGGAAAUCUCCCAAAGAUGAGGAGCUGGUUACCAGAGGAACAACCAUGUGAUUACAGAAUUGGAACUUUCAACCCCACCCACUCACCUACCCCAGCCUCUAGAGAGAGGAAAGGGGUUGAAGGCUAGGGCAUGGAUGUGUGGUGAUGAGUUAGCUUUUUCUGUAUGAAGACCAUACUUUAGAUGAUGGCGGAGUAACCAGACAGAAGGUGCUGUGUCCCUGGAUAACUGCGCAACCUGCCAAUCUAGAUUUCUGCCUGCCCCUGCUAUAUUUUGUGAGAGAAAA